CCUACGGGAGGCAGCAGUAAGGAAUAUUGGUCAAUGGGGGCAACCCUGAACCAGCCAUGCCGCGUGCAGGACGACUGCCCUAUGGGUUGUAAACUGCUUUUGCCGGGGAAUAAACCCCACUACGUGUAGUGGGCUGAACGUACCCGGAGAAUAAGGAUCGGCUAACUCCGUGCCAGCAGCCGCGGUAAUACGGAGGAUCCGAGCGUUAUCCGGAUUUAUUGGGUUUAAAGGGUGCGUAGGCGGCACUUUAAGUCAGGGGUGAAAGACGGCAGCUCAACUGUCGCAGUGCCCUUGAUACUGAAGUGCUUGAAUGCGGUUGAAGACGGCGGAAUGAGACAAGUAGCGGUGAAAUGCAUAGAUAUGUCUCAGAACACCGAUUGCGAAGGCAGCUGUCUAAGCCGUUAUUGACGCUGAUGCACGAAAGCGUGGGGAUCGAACAGGAUUAGAUACCCUGGUAGUCCACGCCCUAAACGAUGAUAACUCGAUGUUUGCGAUAUACCGUAAGCGUCCAAGCGAAAGCGUUAAGUUAUCCACCUGGGGAGUACGCCCGCAAGGGUGAAACUCAAAGGAAUUGACGG
rnacentral:rRNA from 1 species